GGGGAUGUAGCUCAGAUGGUAGAGCUAGCGCUCGCUUAGCAUGCGAGAGGUACGGGGAUCGAUACCCCGCAUCUCCA